rnacentral:rRNA from 1 species
AUUGAACGCUGGCGGCGUGCUUAACACAUGCAAGUCGAGCGGUAAGGCCCUUUCGGGGGUACACGAGCGGCGAACGGGUGAGUAACACGUGGGUGACCUGCCCUCAGCUCUGGGAUAAGCCUGGGAAACCGGGUCUAAUACUGGAUAUGACUCCAUGACGCAUGUUGUGGGGUGGAAAGCCUUGUGCGGCUGAGGAUGGGCCCGCGGCCUAUCAGCUUGUUGGUGGGGNGAUGGCCUACCAAGGCGACGACGGGUAGCCGGCCUGAGAGGGCGACCGGCCACACUGGGACUGAGACACGGCCCAGACUCCUACGGGAGGCAGCAGUGGGGAAUCUUGCGCAAUGGGCGAAAGCCUGACGCAGCGACGCCGCGUGAGGGAUGACGGCCUGGUGUAAC